rnacentral:misc_RNA from 2 species
CAACCCUCAAGCCUAGCUUGGUGUUGGGCCCUGCCCGUUGCGGCCGGCCCUAAAGUCAGUGGCGGCGCCGUCUGGCUCUAAGCGUAGUACAUCUCUCGCUCUAGGGUCCUGCGGUGGCUUGCCAGAACCCCCAACUCCUAU